AAAGUGCUGGGAUUACAGGCGUGAGCCACCCUGCCUGGCCUAAGCAACCACAUCUUGCAUGAACUAACUGAGCGAGAACUCACUUAUCACUGAAGGGAUGGCGCUACACCAUUCACGAGGGGCUAUUCCCAUGAUCCAAUCACCUCCCACCAGGCCCCACCUCCAACAGUGGGGAUCACAUUUCAACAUGAGAUUUGGAGAGGACAAACAUCCAAACGAUAUCAGGCUGAAAACACGGCUGGCACUUGAAACUUUAGAGAAGUCACCUUUUCCCUGGGCUCCUCGCUCUGGUCUCCCUGAGACUGUCACAGCGGCUUCAUAGGUGCUUCGAGUUUCUUUGCCACCCCCUGAUCAGGCCUUCUGUGUUUUGUAGUAGUCGCCUUCCCAGAUUUAUUGAGUAGCUCAGCUGAACCAAGGUCUGAGCAUUCAAUUAGGUCUUGUUAUUCAUCCGUUCACCAAAUAUUUAGUGAGCCAUGUGCCAGGCACAUUUCUAGCUGCUGAUACAGCUGUGAACAAGACAGAUGAAGCCCUUGCCCUUCGUGGAGCUCACAUUUUAAUAAAUAGUUUGGAGGCGGACAAAGAGAAAAUAAACAGAGAAACACGAACCUGGAGCAUUUGGCUCACAACUUAGAGUUGACUCAUCUUCAGUUUGACGUCCCUCCUGCUACGAGUUCCUGGCUAACUGACAUCUCUUCUCCUCAAGCAGAUGCUAACUUUGAGCCCUACCACUGAUGGCAUUUGAGGGGGAGAGGAUAAGCCAAGGGAAGAGGAAAAUCAAAAUGCUUUCAGCAGCACGGCUUCCGCAUGCUGGAGAGGUGGUGUAUGGGGUUGCGGCUUGGCCUGUUUUCUGAAACCUGCAAGGUAGCACCCUGAAGGUAGCUUGUAACCCUCCACUCUCACACCAAGGAAGCGGCCACCUGUCUCCCAGCUGUCUGGGACUGUCUGCUGGAGCAAGUGACAUCACAGUGACCAGAAACCACCUCCCCUUUGUCUGGAGCAGUUAUGAUGUCAUUCCCUCUGGCAGCGAAGCAGGAUGUUGGCAGCUGGGAUUCCUCCGGGUCCUCCUGAAGUGAUAAUUGCCUUAGAUUUUGUUAUAAAGUGCAGCUGCUAAUUAUCUUGUUAAAUCACAGCCAUAUACUUUUUGGAUCUUUUUUUCCUUUGCAAUCCAUUUAAACAAUCUGGGAGA
rnacentral:lncRNA from 1 species